rnacentral:rRNA from 1 species
GAUGAACGCUAGCGGGAGGCCUAACACAUGCAAGCCGAGCGGUAGAGUUUCUUCGGAAACUUGAGAGCGGCGUACGGGUGCGGAACACGUGUGCAACCUGCCUUUAUCUGGGGGAUAGCCUUUCGAAAGGAAGAUUAAUACCCCAUAAUAUAUUGAUUGGCAUCAAUUAAUAUUGAAAACUCCGGUGGAUAGAGAUGGGCACGCGCAAGAUUAGAUAGUUGGUGAGGUAACGGCUCACCAAGUCAGUGAUCUUUAGGGGGCCUGAGAGGGUGAUCCCCCACACUGGUACUGAGACACGGACCAGACUCCUACGGGAGGCAGCAGUGAGGAAUAUUGGACAGUGGGUGAGAGCCUGAUCCGGCCAUCCCGCGUGAAGGACGACGGCCCUAUGGGUUGCAAACUUCUUUUGUAUAGGGAUAAACCUACCCUCGUGAGGGUAGCUGAAGGUACUAUACGAAUAAGCACCGGCUAACUCCGUGCCAGCAGCCGCCGUAAUAC